CGCGACACACGAAUAGUUUCGCUUCCUUGUGACAUUUGACGACAAGACUCAUCAUUAGUUUGUGUGCUGUUUAAUCAUGGUUUAUCAUUCAACAAGCAAGAUUACAUUCCCAGUGACUAAGAAAAUGGGAGUGUGCAGGAUUGGAAGGGUAUGGAUUUCAGCUUUAAUGACUGGAUAUACCACCAAGCGGCUGAGAAAUGCUUAGCGACUUUUACUUCCAGAAGAUUAGUAUGAUCAUGGAGGAAUUCCUUCAGGUUGAUAGCAAAGAAAAUGUUUGCCAACUCGGUAAGUCUAGCCGCCAUUGUAUAAGGUUUUCGUGACUUUGUGGGCGGGGCUUCUUGUCCUUGUCGACAUGUCAAUCAAUUGGUCAUUUGUUAAGCUUGAUUGA